GGAAGCCGACGGCAUUUUGCUCCGGCCAAUCUACGUCGUAUCGAACGCCAACCCAUUCUCCGCUUCCCCAGCCAUCUUCUCAAUCCGAUGACUCCUCACCAUCUUAUUACUCGUUGCACAUAUCACCACCAAGCAGAUCGCACCCAACGCACCUGCCGCCGCCACGAUCACCUUCCUAAUCACCUCUGCCUUCUCCUCCUCCGCCUCCUCCCUUACCGACACCACUGCCGUAAACUUCCCGCUCCCUUCCGUCUCACAUAUAAAAUCUCCCGUCACGUUCCUCAGCUGAACCAGCCCUUGCCCCGCGACAAACUUCACGCACUUCAUCUCCUCCCCUGCCUCGGCCGCCAGUGGUGACUGG
rnacentral:lncRNA from 1 species